UAAUCUACAGUUCAUGUGACUGAUCCCCUUUAUGUGGCGGUGAGUUAACUCUAUUAACUGUGAGUUCUCCUUUAAGCACAACUCAUUCAAAUUGUAUGCAUAUUACGGGUGGAUGUGAUAUCUUUACUAGAGCCGUGUAAGCACACAUUUUUGACUUCAUGAUUUCUUUCCCUGCGUCUCUUUCUCCUUGCUGUUUCUGCCUCUUGGCAGCGGGGCUAAAGUGGGCAGGGAGAGAGGAGGGCAUGGCCCAGAAUCUGCUCUCAAGCCCCAGCCCCUGUUCAAGUGGGGUUGCUGGUACACUGCUCAGCCUUUCCCUUGUCUUGCAGGCGAAAGAGAGGGAUGUGGACAUUCUUGUCUGCUUCCUAACCCGCCUUUUUUUUUUUUCUCGCCGCCAACCUGGCCUUAUUCUCUGAGGGUGAACACAAGCCCGACCUGUACAAAAAAACUCACCUCCAGUUGGACCAACUAGAUUUCUACUGCUGCCUGCAAAAGUAUCUGUCCUUAAGGCUGAGGUAGUAGAUUGAAUAGUUGUGGGGUUUGUGUCCUCCCUCUGAGAUAACUAUACAAUCUACUGUCUUUCCUAAGGAGACAGGUUGAUCUGCUGUGAAGCCGAAGCCUGUAUGUUCAUGGGAGGCUCUGUGGAUAAAGGAACUCACGGGUACAUGGAGUAUCGUAGAUUAAGAGAUAACGCGUUUUCCACCUUUGAGAAAAGACUGCAACACAAUAAAGACUACAUGUUUGCCAGAUAUAAUGAUGGGUCUUGUCAAAUCUAAUAACAACACAUACUGAAGUUGGCAUGUAGAAUAAAGUCUUGAUAUUUGGUGACAGGAGUUGAGCCUGGCAAGGUGAGGUAGUAGGUUGUAUAGUUUGUGGGAUGGAGUAAAUCCUACUUAGGCGAUAACUAUACAGUCUAUUACCUUUCUUGAGAGGUACAAUGAAUGCUUGGGAUGGAGCUUAUUCACAUGGGUGGUAAAAGGCCACUCUGACGCCAUCUUGUGGCCAAAGACUAUCAUCACUUGGAAAAUGAUUGAAGCUAUGGUAACUAUACUCUGUUUAUCUAGGGCCAUAUUCACAAACAUCACAAGGCUCCUAUAAAGUGUGAAAUAUUUCUGCAUCAUUCAGUCAAAUGUUUACCAAAUCAUAUUAUGACAAAUUGUUAGCUUAAAAAAUAUUACAUGCCAAUGUCUUUUUAACAGAUGUUUUUUUUUUUAACAUUACAUUUUAUUUAACACCAAUGAUAUUAAAUGCUAGAUAAACAAAUAUUUCAAUUAGUUUUAUGUAUGAAAUCUAUAAAUAUAUUGCUUAUUGUUGAGUAUUUUGUUACAUUUUUUGUGUUUAUUUUACAUCUUCUGAUUUGUUUUGCUUGAUUAAAUUUAUUUUGUGAAAAUAAAGUUAUUUAUUAUUAUUAAUUUGCUGUAUAGCAAAAGAUGUUUAUCAGAUACAUUGGUAAUCAAUUGAAUAAAGUCAAUCGUAACUCAUUUGAAUAUCCUGUGGGUAUGACCCAACAAAUUAAAAUGUAGAAUGUUGUUUAUUGUGAUCCUUACUGAAUCUGAUGCAUUGCUAAAAACAUAAAAUAAAGGCUUUAAUAGAAGAACUUAA